CUCCGGGAUCAUUGCAGAAGUCACCAUCAUGACCAUCUGAACAUGAGCUGAUGAACAAGGACAACGACACUAGAGAUACUAAUGUGGAAGGUGGAAAGUCCAGGAGACCUCAACUCGACACAGAGAACUACAGGCAACUAAGGAAUGCUAAGAUGGGAAGAAGUAGUCUUCCCCAGGCAUCCUGUUUGGCCUUUACAUUUUAAAACUACAAGGAGAAGAGCUGCUGUGUACCAGUUUCCUCCAAACUGAAACAUUCCAAUUCUGGGAGACCUCCUUAAAAAAAGAAGGUAAACAACUCACAUUGUUUCAGGAAGUCCUUGAAACUGACCGGAUUCACUAGCAUGCCACCCCCAGCACCCCCAAGAAUAAACCACAAGGACUGUGGAGAGUCACAUCCCACACAAGAUGCACAGAAGCAGAGACCCUUUCAACCAAGCAGCUGGAAAAGAAGCAGACAGCAGCUGAGCAGUCGGGAAGAGGGGUAGAUCAACUGAGCCACCCUGAAGGAUGCUCUCCAGCCUGGUAAUCUGUCCACAGGCUGUGCCGUGAGCUCCAGAUGUUCAGAUUCUGUGAGCUGUCACCCAUGCUGGGGUAGGCUUUGGUGAUGCAGCUGUCCCUGAGUCAUUUCUGCUCCUAUAAGUAACCCUUCACCCAUACUCUUGUACCCAACCCCAAUAAAACCCAUUGCUUCACUGA